rnacentral:rRNA from 1 species
GAUCAUGGCUCAGGAUGAACGCUGGCGGCACGCCUAACACAUGCAAGUCGAACGGAGUUGAUGAGAGCUUGCUCUUAUAACUAGUGGCGGACGGGUGAGUAACACGUGAGCAACCUGCCUUUCAGAGAGGGAUAGCUUCUGGAAACGGAUGGUAAUACCUCAUAACAUACAUUAACGGCAUCGUUAGUGUAUCAAAGAUUUAUCGCUGAAAGAUGGGCUCGCGUCUGAUUAGCUGGUUGGUGAGGUAACGGCCCACCAAGGCAACGAUCAGUAGCCGGACUGAGAGGUUGAACGGCCACAUUGGGACUGAGACACGGCCCAGACUCCUACGGGAGGCAGCAGUGGGGAAUAUUGCACAAUGGGCGCAAGCCUGAUGCAGCGAUGCCGCGUGAGGGAAGAAGGUUUUCGGAUUGUAAACCUCUGUCAUCGGGGACGAAAAUGACGGUACCCGAGAAGGAAGCUCCGGCUAACUACGUGCCAGCAGCGGC